AACGUGCCCUUCUCUACGGAAUAGCCUCUGGAAACGGAGAGUAAUACCGUAUACGCCCUUUGGGGGAAAGAUUUAUCGGAGAAGGAUCGGCCCGCGUUAGAUUAGGUAGUUGGUGGGGUAACGGCCUACCAAGCCUACGAUCUAUAGCUGGUUUUAGAGGAUGAUCAGCAACACUGGGACUGAGACACGGCCCAGACUCCUACGGGAGGCAGCAGUGGGGAAUCUUAGACAAUGGGGGCAACCCUGAUCUAGCCAUGCCGCGUGAGUGAUGAAGGCCUUAGGGUCGUAAAGCUCUUUCGCCUGUGAUGAUAAUGACAGUAGCAGGUAAAGAAACCCCGGCUAACUCCGUGCCAGCAGCCGCGGUAAUACGGAGGGGGUUAGCGU
rnacentral:rRNA from 1 species